rnacentral:pre_miRNA from 1 species
AUUUCUUUUAAUAUAUCAAGAAGUUGAAUUGACAGUGAAGAAAGAAGCAUGAAGUCGAAAGCCAUCAUUGCCUAUAACCAAAACUCAUACCAUGCUUCUUUCUUCACAGUCAAUUCAACUUUCUGAUAUGUUAAAAGAAAU